rnacentral:siRNA from 1 species
AGUGACGAGCAACAUGAUUGAAUA